AGAAAUCUACCAGAGAGGCCUUGAAUAAUAAAAAUAUCAAGCCAUUGUUGAAUGCCUUCAGUCAGUUACCUGGCAGUGAAAAUGAAAAAAAAUGUACUCUUGACCAAGCUUUCAGAGGUGUUCUGGAAGAGGAAAUUGUAAAUCACUCAGCGUGUGAGAACGUUUUAGCUAUUAUUUCUCUUGCUAUUGGGGGAGUAACUGAAAGU